GCCGGGGGUGGGCGGAACUGGCAGGACGCACAGGACUUAAAAUCCUGCGGUGAGUGAUCACCGUACCGGUUCGAUUCCGGUCCUCGGCA
rnacentral:tRNA from 1 species